rnacentral:rRNA from 1 species
AUUGAACGCUGGCGGAAUGCUUUACACAUGCAAGUCGAACGGCAGCACGGACUUCGGUCUGGUGGCGAGUGGCGAACGGGUGAGUAAUGUAUCGGAACGUGCCCAGUCGUGGGGGAUAACGUAGUGAAAAUUACGCUAAUACCGCAUACGAUCUAUGGAUGAAAGCGGGGGAUCGCAAGACCUCGCCCGAUUGGAGCGGCCGAUAUCAGAUUAGGUAGUUGGUGGGGUAAAGGCCCACCAAGCCAACGAUCUGUAGCUGGUCUGAGAGGACGACCAGCCACACUGGAACUGAGACACGGUCCAGACUCCUACGGGAGGCAGCAGUGGGGAAUUUUGGACAAUGGGCGAAAGCCUGAUCCAGCCAUUCCGCGUGCAGGAUGAAGGCCCUCGGGUUGUAAACUGCUUUUGUACAGAACGAAAAGGUUUCUACUAAUACUAGGAGCUCAUGACGGUACUGUAAGAAUAAGCACCGGCUAACUGCGUGCCAGCCGCCGCAGUAA